rnacentral:rRNA from 1 species
UACGGGGGGGGCAAGCGUUGUUCGGAAUUACUGGGCGUAAAGGGCUCGUAGGUGGCCAACUAAGUCAGACGUGAAAUCCCUCAGCUUAACUGGGGAACUGCGUCUGAUACUGGAUGGCUUGAGUUUGGGAGAGGGAUGCGGAAUUCCAGGUGUAGCGGUGAAAUGCGUAGAUAUCUGGAGGAACACCGGUGGCGAAGGCGGCAUCCUGGACCAACACUGACACUAAGGAGCGAAAGCCAGGGGAGCAAACGGG